rnacentral:rRNA from 1 species
GGAGCUGAAAUCAGUCGAAGAUACCAGCUGGCUGCAACUGUUUAUUAAAAACACAGCACUGUGCAAACACGAAAGUGGACGUAUACGGUGUGACGCCUGCCCGGUGCCGGAAGGUUAAUUGAUGGGGUUAUCCUCACGGAGAAGCUCUUGAUCGAAGCCCCGGUAAACGGCGGCCGUAACUAUAACGGUCCUAAGGUAGCGAAAUUCCUUGUCGGGUAAGUUCCGACCUGCACGAAUGGCGUAAUGAUGGCCAGGCUGUCUCCACCCGAGACUCAGUGAAAUUGAACUCGCUGUGAAGAUGCAGUGUACCCGCGGCAAGACGGAAAGACCCCGUGAACCUUUACUAUAGCUUGACACUGAACACUGGUCCUUGAUGUGUAGGAUAGGUGGGAGGCUUUGAAGUGUGGACGCCAGUCUGCAUGGAGCCGUCCUUGAAAUACCACCCUUUAAUGGCUGGUGUUCUAACGUGGGCCCGUGAUCCGGGUUGCGGACAGUGUCUGGUGGGUAGUUUGACUGGGGCGGUCUCCUCCUAAAGAGUAACGGAGGAGCACGAAGGUCAGCUAAUCCUGGUCGGACAUCAGGAGGUUAGUGCAAUGGCAUAAGCUGGCUUGACUGCGAGCGUGACGGCGCGAGCAGGUGCGAAAGCAGGUCAUAGUGAUCCGGUGGUUCUGAAUGGAAGGGCCAUCGCUCAACGGAUAAAAGGUACUCCGGGGAUAACAGGCUGAUACCGCCCAAGAGUUCAUAUCGACGGCGGUGUUUGGCACCUCGAUGUCGGCUCAUCACAUCCUGGGGCUGAAGUAGGUCCCAAGGGUAUGGCUGUUCGCCAUUUAAAGUGGUACGCGAGCUGGGUUUAGAACGUCGUGAGACAGUUCGGUCCCUAUCUGCCGUGGGCGCUGGAGAAUUGAGGGGGGCUGCUCCUAGUACGAGAGGACCGGAGUGGACGCAUCACUGGUGUUCGGGUUGUCAUGCCAAUGGCAUUGCCCGGUAGCUAAAUGCGGAAGAGAUAAGUGCUGAAAGCAUCUAAGCACGAAACUUGCCCCGAGAUGAGUUCUCCCUGAC